rnacentral:rRNA from 1 species
UACGGAGGGGGCUAGCGUUGUUCGGAAUUACUGGGCGUAAAGCGCACGUAGGCGGCUUUGUAAGUUAGAGGUGAAAGCCCGGGGCUCAACUCCGGAAUUGCCUUUAAGACUGCAUCGCUAGAAUUGUGGAGAGGUAAGUGGAAUUCCGAGUGUAGAGGUGAAAUUCGUAGAUAUUCGGAAGAACACCAGUGGCGAAGGCGACUUACUGGACACAUAUUGACGCUGAGGUGCCGAAAGCGUGGGGAGCAAACAGG